AAGUCGUAACAAGGUUUCCGUAGGUGAACCUGCGGAAGGAUCAUUAGUAUAGAACAAUUGUUUUUAAGCAACUGCUAUGCAUUUUCUACCCCAACUGCGUAUUUUUCCUGUUGCUUCCGUACUGCGUGGACUUUGGUCCCCUCUUACUGUAUCUUUAAGUAUGGUUCAGAGUGUCGGUACGGCAGAUAUUCGUCAAACACCAUGCAUUUCAUGUCAUUGAGUCUGAACAGUUAAUAGCAAAAAGUUAAAACUUUCAACAACGGAUCUCUUGGUUCUCGCAUCGAUGAAGAACGCAGCGAAAUGCGAUAAGUAGUGUGAAUUGCAGAAUUCAGUGAAUCAUCGAAUCUUUGAACGCACAUUGCGCCUUCUUGUAUUCAGGGAGGCAUGCCUGUCCGAGUGUCAUUAAAUAUCACUCAAGCUCUUUUGCUUGGUCUUGGAAGGAAGAGUCCGCUGGUUUGUCUCUCUUCCGAAAUGUAAUGGCCGAAGCCCUCAUGCACCUGGCGUAGUAAUUACUAUUCGCUUGGGUCUUGAAACAUUCCUGUCAGCCCAACCAAUUUUUUCUAGUUUGACCUCGGAUCAGGUAGGGAUACCCGCUGAACUUAGGCAUAUCAAUAAGCGGAGGAAAAGAAACCAACAGGGAUUGCCUUAGUAACUGCGAGUGAAGCGGCAAAAGCUCAAAUUUGAAAUCUGAUGUCUUUGACGUCCGAGUUGUAAUUUGGAGGGAUAUCUUCGGGGUUGGUGUCGUCCUAAGUUUCUUCGAACAGGACAUCAUAGAGGGUGAGAAUCCCGUGCCUGGAUGGCCGUCCAACUCCAUGUGAAGUGUCUCCGACGAGUCGAGUUGUUUGGGAAUGCAGCUCAAAAUGGGUGGUAAAUUUCAUCUAAAGCUAAAUAUUGGCGAGAGACCGAUAGCGCACAAGUAGAGUGAUCGAAAGAUGAAAAGCACUUUGAAAAGAGAGUUAAAAAGUACGUGAAAUUGUUGAAAGGGAAGCGCUUGCGACCAGACUUGAUCUUUGGUGAUCAGCCGGACUUUGGUUUGGUGCCCUUGCCAUUGAUUGGGCCAGCAUCGGUUCUGACGGCGGGAUAAAAGGAGGAGGAAUGUGGCUCCCCUCGGGGAGUGUUAUAGCCACCUCCACAAUGCCGCCAGUUGGGACCGAGGACCGCGCUUCGGCUAGGAUGCUGGUGUAAUGGUCUUAAGCGACC
rnacentral:rRNA from 1 species